UUUGGAGACUACGCCGUCUCUGGAAACUUCUUGAACCCUAACUUCUGCUUUUGUUCAUCUUUCCUACUAAAAAAUUCUGAAAACAUUACAGAGUUACACCGAAUCGAAGUGUCGUUUUAAACGCACUCAUUAAUCAUUGUUCUCCACUCCUCACGCAAUCUAUCAUUGAAUGCAUCUACCAUCCUUUCUGUGAAUCUUGGAGAUUCCUCAACUAUAAAAAUUUUGUGAACUGUAUAUUUCUUUAUGCCCUAUGGUUCUAUCUAUCAUCAGGAACCAAAAGAGAAUAACCUCCGUCAAAAAGCUUUGACACUCAAUUGUCUACGUGAGAUAACAAUGACUACAGUAACAUAUACAUGAACGCAAGCGUUUAAAUCACAAGCCAAGGACCCCAAAACCGAAUUACUCAUUCAAGGUAUCUUUUCCUAUCUACACAUACACUACAUCGGAUUUUUCAAUUGAUCUCCUCUUCAGUUCAUCUUCACGGUCUUCUAAACAUGUAACAUUCAGACUAUAUAUUAGGUUUUGCGAAUGAUCGAUAUUGGUGUACAAAAUGAUUUUGGAAACGAUUUAAGGGAAACUUAUAGUUGCUUUUGUAAAUCCAUCGAUAUACAUUAAUUAGUGUUGCAACGAGUUCAUAUUAUGGUCUUUUAGCAAAUGAGUAAGUGAUUAUUUAUAAAUC